GUAGGGAAUCUUCCGCAAUGGACGAAAGUCUGACGGAGCAACGCCGCGUGAGUGAUGAAGGCUUUCGGGUCGUAAAACUCUGUUGUUAGGGAAGAACAAGUACGAGAGUAACUGCUCGUACCUUGACGGUACCUAACCAGAAAGCCACGGCUAACUACGUGCCAGCAGCCGCGGUAAUACGUAGGUGGCAAGCGUUAUCCGGAAUUAUUGGGCGUAAAGCGCGCGCAGGCGGUUUCUUAAGUCUGAUGUGAAAGCCCACGGCUCAACCGUGGAGGGUCAUUGGAAACUGGGGAACUUGAGUGCAGAAGAGAAAAGCGGAAUUCCACGUGUAGCGGUGAAAUGCGUAGAGAUGUGGAGGAACACCAGUGGCGAAGGCGGCUUUUUGGUCUGUAACUGACGCUGAGGCGCGAAAGCGUGGGGAGCAAACAGGAUUAGAUACCCUGGUAGUCCACGCCGUAAACGAUGAGUGCUAAGUGUUAGAGGGUUUCCGCCCUUUAGUGCUGCAGCUAACGCA
rnacentral:rRNA from 1 species